rnacentral:ncRNA from 1 species
GCGAAAACGGUGAUGGGGAGCAGUAAGUGAUGUAACCCUUCAGAGAGCCGUUGGUUGGUGCAAAACGGUGGGCAAAAUCGCUGAAUCUCGCCCCGGAGUUGUUCGGCGGAAAUUUGUGUACUCCGAACCGGGUUUGCCCGUUAUAGCUUUUUCGAGUGGGUAGGUGCCAGACACUUGCCAACAGGGGUGGUACCGCGGGAGAAAACCUCUCGUCCCUUAU